rnacentral:rRNA from 1 species
GCAAGUCGAAUGGGUUUAGACCCAUGGCAGACGAGGUAGGAACACGUAGGUACAUACCGGAAAGUCGGGGAUAACCUGGAGAAAUCCAGAAUAAUACUCGAUGGUCCCUUCGGGGUAAAGAUUUAUCGCUUUCUGAAUGGCCUGCGUUCUAUCAGCUUGUUGGUAAGGUAACGGCUUACCAAGGCUACGACGGAUAGGGGAGGUGAGAGCCUGACC